GUUAAUGUAGCUUAACAAUUAAAGCGAGGCACUGAAAAUGCCUAGAUGAGUUCACGAAACUCCAUAAACA
rnacentral:tRNA from 1 species